ACAAGACAUCUUCUAUUACCAGGAUACAUUUCCCCAUAUAUCUGGGUAAUUUUCAUAUCCUUGAUUCAGUUUUAAGAAUCUUCCCUAAACUGUGCCGUCAGCUCCCCAAGUAGGUUCAAUCGUUAGAACAUGUCAUAUGCCACAUCACUGAUUUAUUUAUUUCUCAUAACACUGAAAGCAGUUGCGGUCUAAAGCACUUUUAAGUUGUCUAAAAAUGAAGUUGCACACCUAGUCUGUUUAUGAUUUGGUGAUGGGACUUGUGAUAAAGGGAGUUCAUUCAUGCUGUUUCAAAUUAUCUUUCUCUUGUUAAUCUGUAGAAGGCUAAUCAUAAUGAUGAUGUCAACACAAAUGGUCACAUGAGUAACAGUUCAACCACUGGAUGGGAAGAUCUCAACAAUUCCAGUAGUGAAGUAGAGUUCAAUAAUGAGAACUUUCCUACGACCACCCUGUUGGAUAUGGACAUUCAAAAGAAUGAUAAAGAUAAGGAAAUCAACAUAGAAGAAAACUUGAGUAACACUUCUAACAGUGAAGAUGAAGAUGAUGAGUGCAACCCUGAGAACCCUACCACAGAACUAUUGGAUGUGGACCUUUCAGAGAAUGAGGAAGCCCUGCCACACUCCGAAGAAGAGAGCUUGAUUGAUGCUGCCAGUAAUGAAGGUGAAAACCAGACUGAUCAUGAAGACUAGAUGGAGGGGAAAAGUACUAGAGAAAAAAAUCCUGAGUUUCCAGUGGGCAGUGAAGACCAAGCAGAUGGUGACAAGCCCCUGUAUCCUGGUGCACCUGUUACAAAGGGAGAAUGU